rnacentral:RNase_P_RNA from 1 species
UGGGGUGGCUAGAUGGUCGCUGCCGGGCUGCUUGUUAAGAGCGGCUCGGGAGAGGAAAGUCCGGGCUUCGCAGAGCAGGGCGGUCGGUAAUGCCGACCAAUCGCAAGAUUAGGGAAAGUGCCACAGAAAGCAAACCGCCGAACGGCUGACCUAGGUCAGUGCGUGGUAAGGGUGAAACGGUGAGGUAAGAGCUCACCAGCAGCGGCGGCGACGUGGCUGGCUUGGUAAACCCCGCCCGAAGCAAGAUCAAACAGAGGGGAAGCCACGCGUCUCAAGCGACUUGUCGCCUGAAACGCGGGGCUACGAUUCGGCUCGGAUCGUUACCACUUUCGGGUAGAUCGCUCGAGGCUACGAGCAAUCGUAGUCCUAGAUAAAUGACCAUCAGCGCGACGUCAGCCAAGUGCUCGACGUUCGCGCGACAGAACCCGGCUUAUCGGCCUACCCAUGCG